rnacentral:sRNA from 1 species
CUUGGUCAUUUAGAGGAAGUAAAAGUCGUAACAAGGUCUCCGUUGGUGAACCAGCGGAGGGAUCAUUACCGAGUACUAUAACUCAUAACCCUUUGUGAACCUUUAUACCUGUUGCUUCGGCGGCGCGCCUCCCGGGGCGUGCCCGCCGGCAUUAUCAGAAUCUCUGUUCGAACCCGACGAUACAUCUGAGUGUUCUAAGCGAACUGUUAAAACUUUCAACAACGGAUCUCUUGGCUCCGGCAUCGAUGAAGAACGCAGCGAAACGCGAUAUGUAAUGUGAAUUGCAGAAUUCAGUGAAUCAUCGAAUCUUUGAACGCACAUGGCGCCUUCCAGUAUCCUGGGAGGCAUGCCUGUCCGAGCGUCGUUUCAACCCUCGAGCCCCCGUGGCCCGGCGUUGGGGAUCUGCCCAGGCAGUCCCCGAAAACCAGUGGCGGACCCGUUGGGCCCUUCCUUUGCGUAGUAACAUCUGCCUCGCAUCGGGAGCCUGCGGGCUAUCCGGCCUCUAAACCCCCCUCAAGCCCGCUCCGGCGGCACCAAGGUUGACCUCGGAUCAGGUAGGAAUACCCGCUGAACUUAAGCAUAUCAAUAAGCGGAGGAAAAGAAACCAACAGGGAUUGCCUCAGUAACGGCGAGUGAAGCGGCAACAGCUCAAAUUUGAAAUCUGGCUCCUUCGGGGCCCGAGUUGUAAUUUGCAGAGGAUGCUUCGGGUACGGGUUCCUUCCGAGUUCCCUGGAACGGGACGCCAUAGAGGGUGAGAGCCCCGUCUGGUAGGACACCCAGCCCGUGUGAAGCUCCCUCGACGAGUCGAGUUGUUUGGGAAU